UACUCCUUUAAAGCAGCUCUUUCGUCGUGCGUCAUUCUCAUCCUCCCGGGCCAAAAUCGUGCGUCGUCCUCACAGGCCCAAAAAAAUACUAAAAGCCAGUCGGGCCCAACAUUCACGCCAAACGUGAAUUCCUGGAGAUCCCCGAGCCACAGCAGCCGUCCGCUAACCCUAUCACGCACGAGCUACCGAACUCCUCGCACCGCAGCCGACCGCCGACCGUCCCAUGGAUGCGCCGGAAUCGCCCCGCGUCCUCUCCCGCGCCAUGGCCGCCGCGUUGCAGCUCCCACGCAACUCCCACGCACGCCGCCUGCAUCGUCUGCGCGCCAUGGCCGCCGCGUUCUCCCAUCCAUGGCCGCCACCCAGUCCUCCUCGCCCGCACAUACACCUGAAGCCAAUAGAACCCCACAAAAUCUGGGGCCGAAGCUGCAGAAAAUGUGCCGGUCGGACCCCCUCCCGCCCUCCGGAUCCCUACCCGGUGGCUCCCCUACCUUCACCAGGAUCCUGGAUCUCUCGCCGAGCAGCCGGCAUGCCGCGUCUGAUGCGAUCCGUGGCUCUACCGCACCGCCAGAGUCGACGAUGAAUCGGGUAACGCGGUAACACCUCCGGCUCCCGCCCUGCUCCCAACUUUGGCCCGAGCCGACGUGCGCCUGCGGACUCGCAGCGCUUGUCAUGCUCCUCCUCGCUUCGGCCCUGCUCCCUAGCCUUCCUCGCUAUGGCACACUCUCACAGCAUCUUCACUCUUCAGUCCAAUGCAUUAUGUACCUAAACAUGCGAUUGGAAGGGAGUGACAUACCCUCCAACAAUUUCGAAGAAGAGAGGAGUUGAGCCCGAUUUGGCUAACCCACCACCGUGGUGCUAACCAACUGACCCGGGAGGCUCCUCAAUGUAUUAUGUACCUCAAAUCCUUGUGCAGGAUGAUAUUUGCUUACCGCUUAUUUUGUUCAGUUUACUUCAAAAGAACAAUUUCUAUGGGCAAAUUCCCAGAGAGUUUGGAACGCUGACUGAUCUAGAAGUGCUAGAUUUGAGCAGCAACAGCUUGGAUGGUGCAAUUUCGGAAGAACUAAGAGCAAUGCCACUGCUCAGACAACUUUCCAAGAAGGUGUCUCUUCUUUCGAUGCCCACGAGACAGUUGCUGUCUUGCUGAUCAAGCAGAUUUUGUUUUACAGGUGAGGCUAUAAGGACUGGAUUUCUCUCAGUGGCCUCCGAGAGAAAUAUUGCACAAAUAUACCAAGUAUUUUUGCAUUUUCAUUCUGCUUUAUGUUACAUAUACUGCAUCAAACAUUUAUAGCCUUGUAUGCAUGUCUUUCAGGUUUCAGUGAGGCACACAUAAUGCAGAAUUUGCAGUCCUUUGCAAGUGCCAUGCAAUCCUUGAAGCUGGCAACCUGCCUGCUCUCCUCUUUCAGGGAAUGAUGCUAAAUCUUCUGAUCCGGCAAAUUCAAAAGAAACCCAAAGACCUGUUGAUGUGCUUUCUCUAGGGAGUGGAUCAUUCCCUGCAUUUCCAAAAUCAGAUGACCAAAUUCUGAUGCCUUUGCUUCCUGAAGUGAUUGAUGCUACCACAGUGCAGCAGUUAUCUACAGAAGUGGCCCACUUGACUGAUGAAGAAUUGACUGGCGCUAAGUAUAGUAAGUAGGCAUAUUUGAUCAUAAUUCUGGCUGCAAUAUUGCUUAUUAGCCUGAUUGUUGCAUUUAUUUUGGUUUGGCGAAUGCGAGGGCGUGUGCCAAUAGCCCCUUGGAAAACAGGGCUAAGUGGAGCUCUUCAAAAGGCUAAUGUAACAGGUAAAACGUUCUUUAUCAUUCUAUUUAAUUUUACAGUCGAGCAAGUUAAUGCAUGCAAAGUACUGCAUCUUUUGUGAGCAUUUAGUCUUUGAGACUCCCAGAUUUUCUUGGUGAACUAAGCAUAUGGCCAGUUCAGGAACUCUAUUGUGCUUUUAGUUAUAUUUUGGAUAUACUUGUCACUUAAAAUUAUGUCCUAGCAUCCAGGUGCUUCAAUGCAUUAUUGUUUCUUGUA